rnacentral:rRNA from 1 species
UACGGAGGGGGCUAGCGUUGUUCGGAAUUAUUGGGCGUAAAGAGCUCGUAGGCGGUUUGUCGCGUCUGCUGUGAAAGACCGGGGCUCAACUCCGGUUCUGCAGUGGGUACGGGCAGACUAGAGUGCAGUAGGGGAGACUGGAAUUCCUGGUGUAGCGGUGAAAUGCGCAGAUAUCAGGAGGAACACCGAUGGCGAAGGCAGGUCUCUGGGCUGUAACUGACGCUGAGGAGCGAAAGCAUGGGGAGCGAACAGG